AGCAUGCGAGUCUGUCACAAAGCUCCUCUCAAGCUCAAGACUGUCCAUCGCAAAUACAGAAUUCUCUGCUGUUAUUCCCAUGGGUAUGAAGUUCGAAUGAAAAAGCGACGUCUCAAAUGUACUUCGUGACAAAGGAAUCCAGGCGGGUGCACCGUGACUUCAUACACAAGAUGCCUUCACAGCGGGUCCAAAGCGGGAAAGAUUAUGUCUGCAAAUCUUGUUCAAAAGGCAGACAGUCGAGAGCCAACUGGAAUUAAACUGUCGUCACACUCACAAGAAUACCACACACUUCUCAUAUGACCUGAACUAUUCAUCAAUAAGUAAGUCUAUAAUGAGGAUGGGGAGCUCUCAAAUGGCUUUAAAACACAAAACUGUUCAAUGCUCUAGAUGAUAUCAUACAUGUAAGAUAUUUAAGUUAUUUAGUUCUAAUAUGCUUAAAGGAAAUGUUUAAAUGUUUCAAGGAUAUCCCCAUUGUGCAUUGGAAGAGAUUUACUGUAAUUAUAUCUGUUGUUAAAAAUUCAUACUGGCUUUUAAGAGAUAGCUUUGUAAAACAACUACACUGAUGGCGCAACAUCCACCGAUCAGCUGAAGUUAAAAUGGAUUUGUCUAUCAGCUGCAUUUGUGUGAAGCCGUAUGCAGAAAGUCAUGUACGUUGGUGCCAAAAGGGACCGAAAUAACGUUGCGUGACCCCCGUCUGAUUCGGUUCUAAUGAACCCAGAGAGGGUUAACUACCCUCCGGUUUAACCACUGUUCUCAGAGACGCGUAGUGUGUAAACGCAGCUGUUAUUACGGCCCUCCCGCCAUUUUGAAAUCUUGUGUGGCGUGGACAUCAUCUACAAUUUUGGUCACAACAUCUUCCUUGGAAAAGGGCAAUUGGGAAAAGUCUAGGACAGAUAAUGACAACAAUAAAUUGGCCGACCUGCUGCUGCGCCUGUGGUCUCAUAUUGAUCCCUUUCUGCAGCUGAGAGAAUGUCUGGUAAUGUCUUCAUUUUCAGUGCAGCUUAAAAGCAAAACUUGUAUUGUUGUAUGUAUUGUUUUUUUUUCUCUUUCCAAUUUCUUUCAUCACAAAGAUCACGGGUGACACAUUUAUUAGCCAGGAAAUGAAGGCAGAGAGGAACAGCAGUUAACUGUGAUCCUAACUAUGUUGGCAAUGCGACAUCGUUAUCUCUACCACUGCGUGCUGCUGACAGUCUUAUCAGUGGAAACAGACCCGGACGUGAGCAGGUUGGAGAGCAGGAGGAGGAUAUUAAGGGGGUAGAAAAGCAACACUGAAAUUAAAGAGAGACCGGGAGAGAAGUGGAGAUGGACGAUACACAUGGAGGAUAUCAAAAAACUAUAAUGCUUUGCGAGAGAGGAGAACACAAGAUAAAAUACAAAAAGGGAAGAUAGACUGAGGGAAUUGGGGAGAAAAUUGGACGUGAUCCGGGUGGAAAGUGGGA
ensembl:lncRNA